AUUUUUUCUUUGCUUGAAACUAACAAGCUUAAAAAUCAGUCCUUAAGUUUUGCCCUAUAUGUGCUUGUUUCACUAACCACUCUUGUGCCUUCUUGGUUAUUUUGAAUGAUUAAGGACGUUAUAUCCAUUAUUCUUAAGUCUCUUGCAGUUGGGCAUCUUUACUUUGCUCUCUGUUUUCUUCAUGCAUCUUUGGUGUUGGGGUUUCCUCCUAUAUUCUUUUUUCAUGUUUUAAUUCAUUCAGAUUCUGUAGUCACUUCAACGUUGAUUUUCUGGGUACUAAAAUAACAAAUUAAAUUUAUUCAAGGUUGUUUAUCUCCCAUAUAUUGAAAGAGCUAUUAGUGAUGCUUUAAAUAGAAAACUUUUUUGGUCACAAUUGGCGGUAGGCAUAUUGCUAUGGAGAAAAUACUUUCUUUGUAAUUUUUAAAUUAAAAUGAAUUUAACAUUAAAAUUAUACUAAGUAAAAUAUACUUUAGAUUUUUAAAAGGAUUUUUAAUAUCCUUGUGAAGAUCAAUUGCAAGCAUUUUGUGGGUAUUUAGAAAUGCUAAUUUAUAAAAUGCUGGACAGAAGUAGUUUAUUAUUAAAACAAGAUUUGCAGAUUAAGGUAAGUACUGGGAUUCUGUGAACUGUAUUCCUUACUUCUGUUGUCUGUCACAAAGCCAAUUUCUACGUGUGAGAGAUCUCUAAAAUGGAGGGGAUUUCACGAACACGUUAAAUAUAGAAUGUUUACUUUUUGAAGUUUUUGGUCUGUCAUUUUAAUUCAAAAUGUCACAAAAUAUUUCUAUUCUCUUAAUUCUUUUUAAUUCAUAACUUAAAUAGGCAACCAUGUGAUUGAGUGCAAAAUCAUUUUAUUUAACUGGUUGUCUUAAACGUCUCUUUCACAUACAACACAGUUUUGAUGUCAGAUUUGUCUCAAAUGUACUUUUGUAAGUGCCAAGGGAAAGCAAAUACUUGUUCCAAUUGUUUGUAGUAGAUAUAAAAUAAUAUUUAAAAUAGUUAGGUUUAGUUGUUCUUUAAAUUGGUGGGGAAAAUGGAAGACCUUUUAUACUCGUAUAAAUUAUUCUAUUUAAUUAAUUUUGAGAGAGUGAACAAAUGUCCCAUAUCUUCGCAGAUAUUAUCAGUACAAGGGAGUGUUGGCCUGUUUUACUGGUGCCUUGACCAGUAAUACAACAGUUAUCUCUGAGAUCCCUUCAGAAUAGAAUUACCUUUGAGGUUAAUCCAGACUGUUUGCUCUAGAAGGGCACCACUAACAGAUUACUUUCUAGUUGAGGUUACAGAUAUGAUGUGAAGUCUGGCAUCCUGGAAUUCAAAUUGUGAAUCUCAGUGAGCCACAGACUCAAAGGAUUUUCUUUCCUUUGAAUAACCAAUCCAAAAGAGUCAUAGGAUUUUUGUUGUUUU